GGACUAAUGGGAGCUUGCUCCCAUUAGUUAGCGGCGGACGGGUGAGUAACACGUGGGCAACCUACCUGUAAGACUGGGAUAACUUCGGGAAACCGGAGCUAAUACCGGAUGACAUAAAGGAACUCCUGUUCCUUUAUUGAAAGAUGGCUUCGGCUAUCACUUACAGAUGGGCCCGCGGCGCAUUAGCUAGUUG
rnacentral:rRNA from 1 species